ACGAAGGGGGCUAGCGUUGCUCGGAAUGACUGGGCGUAAAGGGCGCGUAGGCGGUUGUUACAGUCAGAAGUGAAAUUCCUGGGCUCAACCUGGGGACUGCCUUUGAUACGUAGCGACUAGAGUAAGGAAGAGGGUUGUGGAAUUUCCAGUGUAGAGGUGAAAUUCGUAGAUAUUGGAAAGAACACCGGUGGCGAAGGCGGCAACCUGGUCCUUUACUGACGCUGAGGCGCGAAAGCGUGGGGAGCAAACAG
rnacentral:rRNA from 1 species